rnacentral:rRNA from 1 species
UACAGAGGUCUCAAGCGUUGUUCGGAUUCAUUGGGCGUAAAGGGCGCGUAGGCGGCGCAACAAGUCACUUGUGAAAUCUCCGGGCUUAACUCGGAAAGGUCAAGUGAUACUGUUGUGCUAGAGUGCGGAAGGGGCAACUGGAAUUCUCGGUGUAGCGGUGAAAUGCGUAGAUAUCGAGAGGAACACCUGCGGCGAAGGCGGGUUGCUGGGCCGACACUGACGCUGAUGCGCGAAAGCCAGGGGAGCGAACGGG